rnacentral:rRNA from 1 species
UACGGAGGGAGCAAGCGUUACUCGGAAUUAUUGGGCGUAAAGGGCGCGUAGGCGAUUUGACAAGUCUUGUGUGAAAGCCCCGAGCUUAACUCGGGAAGUGCACAAGAAACUGUUGAAUUUGAGUUCCGGAGAGGAAGGCAGAAUUCCCGGUGUAGCGGUGAAAUGCGCAGAUAUCGGGAGGAACACCGGUGGCGAAGGCGGUUCUCUGGGCCUGACCUGACGCUGAGGAGCGAAAGCGUGGGGAGCGAACAGG